AUUGAACGCUGGCGGCAGGCCUAACACAUGCAAGUCGAGCGAGCGGCGGACGGGUGAGUAAUGUCUGGGAAACUGCCUGAUGGAGGGGGAUAACUACUGGAAACGGUAGCUAAUACCGCAUACCAUCAGAUUUGCCCAGAUGGGAUUAGCUAGUAGGUGGGGUAACGGCUCACCUAGGCGACGAUCCCUAGCUGGUCUGGGAGGAUGACCAGCCACACUGGAACUGAGACACGGUCCAGACUCCUAGGGGGGGCAGAAGUGGGAAAUAUUGCACAAUGGGGGCAAGCCGGAUGAAGCAAUGCCGCGUGUGGGAAGAAGGCCUUCGGGUUGUAAAGCACUUUCAGCGGGGAGGCGUUAACCGAAGAAGAAGCACCGGCUAACUCCGUGCCAGCCGCCGCGGUAAUAC
rnacentral:rRNA from 1 species